rfam:Schistosoma mansoni strain Puerto Rico chromosome 7, complete genome
AUCCAGCUGACGAGUCCCAAAUAGGAUGAAAUGCGCGUCGUGGAU